UGUGUUCAACUUUGGCCUACUAGUGUCCCUCCUGUUUUGAUUGGCAGGGCUCCUGCAUGUUUGGUAGAGUCACAUGGCUUUAGUAUGGGAAGGCCUCCGUGGACUUGGAGCACCUUGGUUUCGUAUCAAAGUCAUUUUUGUUUUUCCACAAAACCCGCUGACCUCUGCACAGCCCUCACUUUAACCCCUUCAGGACCGCAGGAGCCUUGUUUAACCACAGGAACAGCCUGGAACAGUGCUCGCUAUGUAAAAUCCGGGCAGCAGAACAACGAGCCCAAACAUACAGCCAAUGUCUUGAAGGACUAUCUUCAGCAUAAAGAAGAACAAGGAGACCUAGAAGUGAUGAUAUGGCCCGACAGAGGCCUGAUCUCAACAUUAACCAGUCUGUCUGGGAUUACAUAAAGAGGCAGAAGGAUCUGAGCAAGCCUACAUCCACCGAAGAUAUGUGAUUAGUUCUCCAAGAUGUCCCAAACAACUCCCCCUGCCGAGAUCCUCCAAAACCUAUGUGCCAGUGUUCCUAGAAGAACUAAUGCUGUUCUGAAGGCAAAGGGUGGUCACUUCAAAUACGGAUGGGAUUUAGAUUUCUCUUUUGUACAUUCACUUUGCAUUUUGUUAAUUGGUAAAAAAAUUAACACUUCUUUGACAGCUUUCUUACUUUUCUCUGACAAAAUGUCCACCGUGGUCUAUUAGGGUUUGGGAACACAUGCUUGGCUAUAUCAGCAUUAAAAGGUGUUGUCCCACAAGUAAUAUUCUACAUUUUUCAAACCAGCACCUGGAUAUGAAUACUUUUGUAAUUGCAUGUAAUUAAACAUUUAUUAUAGCUACUGCGUUAUUCACUCAAAUCCAUCUGUACAGCGCCACCUGCUGUUUGCUCGUUUUCUAAUUUCUCUGUCCACCUCACCCAGGUGGAUGCACAUGCUCAGUUCGAUUCGUCAACUGACACUAGCUGCAGCAUACAGGACACACCUCUGAGAAAGGACCUAGCCGUUCAGCUGGCAACUUGAAAAAAAUCGAGCAGAGCAAUUUGAACAAUGAGUAGGGAGAGCUCUGUUCCACUUGUGGUACAGGGCUGGUUUUAGCUAUUUUAGAAAGAGGUUGCCUUGUACUAUACGAUGUCUGAUUGUCAAGUUCUACAAUAAUCAUGGGAUAAUCCCUUUAAUAAAAAUAAAAUAAAAAAUUUGACCUAAAAUAU